UCAGGAUGAACGCUAGCGGCAGGCCUAAUACAUGCAAGUCGAGGGGCAGCAAGUCAGUUUACUGAUGUUGGCGACCGGCGCACGGGUGCGUAACGCGUAUGCAACCUACCUAUUUCUGGGAGAUAGCCCGGGGAAACCCGGAUUAAUAUCCCAUAGUAUCACAUGAUGGCAUCUGAAAGUGAUUAAAGUUUCGAUGGAAAUAGGUGGGCAUGCGUAAGAUUAGCUAGUUGGUGAGGUAAUGGCUCACCAAGGCAACGAUCUUUAGGGGGUCUGAGAGGAUGAUCCCCACACUGGAACUGAGACACGGUCCAGACUCCUACGGGAGGCAGCAGUAGGGAAUAUUGGUCAAUGGGCGAAAGCCUGAACCAGCCAUGCCGCGUGCAGGAUGACAGCUUUCUGAGUUGUAAACUGCUUUUCUAUGAGAAGAAAAAACCCUUGCGAGGGUAAUUGACGGUACCAUAGGAAUAAGCACCGGCUAACUCCGU
rnacentral:rRNA from 1 species